rnacentral:rRNA from 4 species
AAAUUGAAGAGUUUGAUCAUGGCUCAGAUUGAACGCUGGCGGCAGGCCUAACACAUGCAAGUCGAACGGUAACAGGAAGCAGCUUGCUGCUUCGCUGACGAGUGGCGGACGGGUGAGUAAUGUCUGGGAAACUGCCUGAUGGAGGGGGAUAACUACUGGAAACGGUAGCUAAUACCGCAUAAUGUCGCAAGACCAAAGAGGGGGACCUUCGGGCCUCUUGCCAUCGGAUGUGCCCAGAUGGGAUUAGCUUGUUGGUGGGGUAACGGCUCACCAAGGCGACGAUCCCUAGCUGGUCUGAGAGGAUGACCAGCCACACUGGAACUGAGACACGGUCCAGACUCCUACGGGAGGCAGCAGUGGGGAAUAUUGCACAAUGGGCGCAAGCCUGAUGCAGCCAUGCCGCGUGUAUGAAGAAGGCCUUCGGGUUGUAAAGUACUUUCAGCGGGGAGGAAGGGAGUAAAGUUAAUACCUUUGCUCAUUGACGUUACCCGCAGAAGAAGCACCGGCUAACUCCGUGCCAGCAGCCGCGGUAAUACGGAGGGUGCAAGCGUUAAUCGGAAUUACUGGGCGUAAAGCGCACGCAGGCGGUUUGUUAAGUCAGAUGUGAAAUCCCCGGGCUCAACCUGGGAACUGCAUCUGAUACUGGCAAGCUUGAGUCUCGUAGAGGGGGGUAGAAUUCCAGGUGUAGCGGUGAAAUGCGUAGAGAUCUGGAGGAAUACCGGUGGCGAAGGCGGCCCCCUGGACGAAGACUGACGCUCAGGUGCGAAAGCGUGGGGAGCAAACAGGAUUAGAUACCCUGGUAGUCCACGCCGUAAACGAUGUCGACUUGGAGGUUGUGCCCUUGAGGCGUGGCUUCCGGAGCUAACGCGUUAAGUCGACCGCCUGGGGAGUACGGCCGCAAGGUUAAAACUCAAAUGAAUUGACGGGGGCCCGCACAAGCGGUGGAGCAUGUGGUUUAAUUCGAUGCAACGCGAAGAACCUUACCUGGUCUUGACAUCCACGGAAGUUUUCAGAGAUGAGAAUGUGCCUUCGGGAACCGUGAGACAGGUGCUGCAUGGCUGUCGUCAGCUCGUGUUGUGAAAUGUUGGGUUAAGUCCCGCAACGAGCGCAACCCUUAUCCUUUGUUGCCAGCGGUCCGGCCGGGAACUCAAAGGAGACUGCCAGUGAUAAACUGGAGGAAGGUGGGGAUGACGUCAAGUCAUCAUGGCCCUUACGACCAGGGCUACACACGUGCUACAAUGGCGCAUACAAAGAGAAGCGACCUCGCGAGAGCAAGCGGACCUCAUAAAGUGCGUCGUAGUCCGGAUUGGAGUCUGCAACUCGACUCCAUGAAGUCGGAAUCGCUAGUAAUCGUGGAUCAGAAUGCCACGGUGAAUACGUUCCCGGGCCUUGUACACACCGCCCGUCACACCAUGGGAGUGGGUUGCAAAAGAAGUAGGUAGCUUAACCUUCGGGAGGGCGCUUACCACUUUGUGAUUCAUGACUGGGGUGAAGUCGUAACAAGGUAACCGUAGGGGAACCUGCGGUUGGAUCACCUCCUUACCUUAAAGAAGC